rnacentral:tRNA from 1 species
GAGAAUAGAGCUUAGUGGUAGAGUGCGUGCUUAGCAUGCAUGAGGUCCUGGGUUCAAUUCUCAGUUUCUCC